AUGAGGGAGGUUUUUUUGUACGACGCUUUUUCAGUGUGUGACCACAGCUUGAAUGUUGAUUAUGUGGCCACUCUGACAGUAGUAAAUUGCAGCCAGCAGGUUGGAACCUCGUUUCUCUGUGCAUGCACUCUCUUCACAUUGUGUCUGUCUCCUCCUCCAGUGGGUCGAGUCGCCCCCACCCUGACGGUGCUGGCCCCCUCCAGCCAGGAGCUACAGCAGGGGAAGGCCACUCUCACGUGCCUGGCCAACAAGGGCUUUCCCUCAGACUGGAGUCUGACCUGGAAGGUGGAUGGCAGCAGCAGUGGCAGCAGCAGCUGGGAGGAGGCCAGGAGCCCCGGGGUGCUGGAGAAGGACGGGCGCUACAGCUGGAGCAGCACCCUGAGGCUCCCUGCAGACCAGUGGAGGAAGGUGGGCUCUGUGACCUGUGGUGCUGGAGAAGGACGGGCGCUACAGCUGGAGCAGCACCCUGAGGCUCCCUGCAGACCAGUGGUCAUAUUUUGUAAGAUGACUGAAAUUGGUUUUCAUUAA